rnacentral:rRNA from 1 species
UAAGACGAGGGAUCCUAGCGUUGUUCGGAAUCAUUGGGCGUAAAGAGGGCGUAGGUGGCUCUGUAAGUCAGAUGUGAAAGCCCGGGGCUUAACCUCGGAAGUGCAUUUGAUACUGCAGAGCUUGAGUGUGGGAGAGGUUACUGGAAUUCCUGGUGUAGUGGUGAAAUACGUAGAUAUCAGGAGGAACAUCGGAGGCGAAGGCGGGUAACUGGCCUAACACUGACACUCAAGCCCGAAAGCGUGGGGAUCAAACAGG